CAGUAGCCACGGUAAUACGGAGGGUGCAAGCGUUAUCCGGAUUUAUUGGGUUUAAAGGGUCCGUAGGCGGACUUAUAAGUCAGUGGUGAAAGCCUGUCGCUUAACGAUAGAACUGCCAUUGAUACUGUAAGUCUUGAGUAUAUUUGAGGUAGCUGGAAUAAGUAGUGUAGCGGUGAAAUGCAUAGAUAUUACUUAGAACACCAAUUGCGAAGGCAGGUUACCAAGAUAUAACUGACGCUGAGGGACGAAAGCGUGGGUAGCGAACAGGAUUAGAUACCCGCGUAGUCCCUGUCUCUUAUAA
rnacentral:rRNA from 1 species